AACAUCCAUCUUCUUCCACCUCAUCUUUUUCUUCUGUUGCUGCUUCGACCAGUAGGGAUACUUCAGGCGGUGCUGCUGCUGCUUCCGGCGAAACAUCACCACAGAACCACCACCAUUCACUCUGUUCUACUCAGGACACACAGUCAGUUCUAAAAUGUCCGGUCUUGCUGUGACGGGUUAUUGAGUUCUUGCAUCGGGUCGUUCAAACGAGGCAUUCAGGAAGCGCUGGUCAUCAAAUUUUGCAGCUGUUGUGUGCAGCGUUGGUAGCCCUUUUGUGCUGAGGGAAACGGUGCUUUUUGUUUUCUGAAACCGCUUGCAGAGCGCACACUUGAGGAUCUCAGACCGAAGGUAAAAGAUUGUAUUUGUUUUGGGAUCUAUAAAAGGAUAUUACAGGGAACAUAUCUUGGCUGUUGAUACCAUACUUGGAUUCUAAACUCUCCAAAGCUGCCUUCAUCUGGGUUAUUUUCUCAACAUUCUCUUUUUCGUUUGCGGUUGGUUUCGUAUACCAUUGCAAGUGUUAAAUUUGUGAUUUGUUGUUUAUGUGGUGAAAAAAUAGGUUGCUAGAACGAUUCAGAUUAUUUAUUUGUUACACAAAAAAAAACUUUUAGAACUCCCGGUAGAAAGAGAUUUCGCUAACGAAAAAGUCUUUUAUUUUUUUGUGAGACUUAAGAGGUUACCUUCUCCAAACGCAUAAAUGGACUUUUGAAUAAGGCUUUUGACCUCUCUAUCCUCUACGAUGCUGAAGUUGCCCUCAUGAUCAUCUUCUCUCCCUCUGGCAUGGCCUGCCAAUUUGCAAGCCACGAAAUUAGUCUCCAGUUGUGUCAUGGGUUGUGUCAUCCCACAAACAAUUGUGCCAUGAGUGGGAUGCUGGAUGAUUGUUAAAACAUGAGACUUAUCAAAAUGUAAAUAGGAAAUAACACCUAUGUAAGUAUACUCUGGUUUUGGCCCUGCAUUCUUAGUUGUGUGAGAUAUACAUGGUUGAUAUCAACUAAUUAUGCAUAUUGCAAUUAUAUUCCCUUAAUUAAUGGGGCUAACCUUUAUGAAUUGAGUAUAGGAUUUAGAUGUAUAGUGUUUCGAUGGGAACAUGAAGACUGCAUUUGGGAGUGUGCAUUAAAUGUAUUUGAU